UCUAAGGAUGAGUGAAAGUAAAAUUUCACUCUAAAUAAUAUACAUCGGUAAUGUUGACCGUCCUCAUUUCUCUUCUUAAAGUAAUGUUUCCUUCUUGUAGGGCCGGUAGCUCAGUUGGUUAGAGCACACCCUUGAUAAGGGUGGGGUCGAAAGUUCGAGUCUUUCUCGGCCCACCAUACUUAACUGGGGGAUUAGCUCAGCUGGGAGAGCGCCUGAUUUGCAUUCAGGAGGUCAGCGGUUCGAUCCCGCUAUCCUCCACCAGGAAACAUUUAGUUAUUAAAACUGUAAAUAAAAAUAAUUUAUAUCAAUAUCUAUAUCCGAACAUUAAAAGUUAUUAUUUAAUGUUCAAAAUAAAAAUUUGAUCACAACAUAGAUAAAUUUUCUUUAAAAAGAAUUUUUUUCUGUGCAUA
rnacentral:tRNA from 1 species